ACGCUGGCGGCACGCCUAACACAUGCAAGUCGAACGAAGUAGCAAUACUUAGUGGCAGACGGGUGAGUAACAUGUGGGUAUCUACCCUUUGGCCUGGAAUAACACGAGGAAACUUGUGCUAAUACCGGAUAAGUCUUUACGGAGAAAGCUUUAUGCACCAUUGGAUGAGCCCGCACUUGAUUAGUUUGUUGGUAGGGUAAUGGCCUACCAAGACUAUGAUCAAUAGCUGAUUUGAGAGGAUGAUCAGCCACAUUGGGACUGAGACACGGCCCAAACUCCUACGGGAGGCAGCAGUGGGGAAUCUUGCACAAUGGAGGAAACUCUGAUGCAGCGAUGCCGCGUGAGUGAAGAAGGCCCUUGGGUUGUAAAGCUCUUUCGUCGGGGAAGAAAAUGACUGUACCCGAAUAAGAAGGUCCGGCUAACUUCGUGCCAGCAGCCGCGGUAAUACGAAGGGACCUAGCGUAGUUCGGAAUUACUGGGCUUAAAGAGUUCGUAGGUGGUUGAAAAAGUUGGUGGUGAAAUCCCAGAGCUUAACUCUGGAACUGCCAUCAAAACUUUUCAGCUAGAGUAUGAUAGAGGAAAGCAGAAUUUCUAGUGUAGAGGUGAAAUUCGUAGAUAUUAGAAAGAAUACCAAUUGCGAAGGCAGCUUUCUGGAUCAUUACUGACACUGAGGAACGAAAGCAUGGGUAGCGAAGAGGAUUAGAUACCCUCGUAGUCCAUGCCGUAAACGAUGUGUGUUAGACGUUGGAAAUUUAUUUUCAGUGUCGCAGGGAAACCGAUAAACACACCGCCUGGGAAGUACGACC
rnacentral:rRNA from 1 species